rnacentral:lncRNA from 1 species
UUGUUUUCAUACCUUUAGGGUACUAGGAGUGUGGUGGACACCUUCGUCGUGGCAAACGAAAGCUUUCGUUGACGACGGUGCGUUUGACUUCGUGGAAAUGGGGCGAAAUGACCCCUAUGCUCUUUCUACUUGUUGUAAAAUAUUUUUAAAUUCAUUUCUAUGCUAAAUGGAAUUUAUAUGAAUUUUAGAGCACUUAAAAUGCAUGUCUUGUGUAUUAUGAAAAUUUCACUAUAUAGUAGAGCUAUAUGAGUAGAAUGCAUGCAUACGGGAAAAGUGUUUAUUUUGCAAGUGGAAAAUACAUCUCUUAUGAGGAUUAUAACUUGGAAUAUGUACUUUGGAACAUAGUUGCCAUGCUUUGACAUAGAGAACAAGAGUGUCAUAAAGGGGCACUUGAAACUAGUAAACUAUGAAACUGCAACGUAUAGACAUAUUGAUAGGCCACUACAUAUCUGCUAUAUUCCAUAUUAGAGACAUGAUGACAUAGGGAUAGGCCAUUGAGAUACUUGACACAUUCCAUGUUAUUAGACAUGAGGAUUUGGUACUUGCGAUAGAUCGUUUGACUACUUGCCAUUGUGCUCAUUCGCACAUGCUUGUGAGGGUCGCUCCCUACAAGCCGGCACUCCGGAGAUAGCCAUCGCGAUUCAUAUUCGCCGUGCGGGAUUGGGCGCCGAAGUGGAUUGCCGUGGGCCAGGCUCAUUCCUAGGGUGGGGAUGAUGACUACCACGGGGCCAUUAGGCUCGGCACCGGCCAGACAGCCUACGGGUGGGUCUCAGGGCCAUAGACAGCCUUCGGGUGGGUCUCUUCAGAUUUGACUUGAGUAUUCAUUAUGACAUGCGGACAGAUGAUGACUUAGAGUAUUACUUGGACAUUGACUAGAAUAGUAAACAAUGGAACUUUACUAUUUCGCAUUGUGAACAUUAUGAUAGUUGGAGACUUUUACUUCAUGCAUAGCUGCUUUC